rnacentral:rRNA from 1 species
AUGUACCUUCGAUGCGCCGUCCACGACACCCCACGGCAAUGGAGCAAGUGGUUGCCGGCAGCAGAGUUCUGGUACAACUCCACACAUCACACAUCUCUCAAGUGCUCACCCUUUCGGGCACUCUACAGUGUCGACCCCAACCUGGACGGACUGCCGCACUUCAACACCGACUCGACUCCGAGUGCGCCCGCGGACGACCUGGACUGGGCUGUGCACACGGAACGCCUCCGUGCCCAGCUUGCCAGAGCACAGACGCGCUUCAAGAAGCAGGCCGAUCGUCACCGUGCCGAGCGCGCAUUCGACGUCGGCGAACAAGUGUUACUCAAGCUACAACCGUACGCGCAAUCAUCCAUCGUCAAUCGCCCAUGCCGGAAGCUCUCCUACAAGUUCUACGGGCCAUUCACGGUGACUGAACGGAUCGGCACCUUAGCGUACUGCCUUCAACUGCCAGCGGACAGCCGCAUUCAUCCGGUAUUCCAUGUCUCCCAAUUGAAGCCUUACACCCCUGACUACACUCCUGUCUUCUCGGAGCUGCCGCAAGUACCAGACCUGGUCGCCGGCGAUGCAGAACCAGUGGCCAUCGUGGAGCGUCGUAUGAUGAAGAAGGGCGACGCACCAGUAAUCCAACUGCAAGUUCAGUGGUCCAACCGACCACCGACUGCCACAACCUGGGAAGACUACGACGUUCUCAAGGAGCGAUACCCAUUGGCCUGCAUCUGGGAGGAAGCUCCUUCUCAAGACAGGGGCAAUGUCACGCCUGCAGAUGGCGAUCUGCAGCGGACUGCAAGUGCAGUUCAGUUAGCAGAUGCUAACUGA